CUUGUUUCUCUACAGAUCAAAUCAAUUUUUCCACUUUUACUAAAAAUUUCCGUGGAGAGGAAUAACUUACCAAUUUUUUUUUUGCCCUGUGAAAUUAGUUUUGGGCA
ensembl:snRNA U5 U5 spliceosomal RNA